CCAAUCGAUGCUCAACUUUGUCUUCGUCUGGAAUAAAAAUAAAACAUAAAAUAAGUAAAUUAUACUUUUGGUCCUCAAACUAUAAAAGGCAUGAUACUUUGGUUCUCAAACUUUAAUGCUUCAUAAUUUCUAACUCAAACUAUGAGGCACAUGAUACUUUAAUCCUUAAAUUUUAAUUAGUUAUAAUUUUUGGCUCAAAUUAUAAGGAAUAUAAUAGUUUAGU
rnacentral:lncRNA from 1 species